UGAUGAUGAUGUGGACAGCUCAUCAACAUCAAUUAAACUUGUCCCAAGCUUGGUACAAGUUCUCUCCUCCUUUCUGUCGAAAACUAAAAAUGUCAUUCCUCAACUU